AUGGAUUCAAGAGCUUACAUCCUCAGAGCCAGCAUUGCACAUCUUUGCCUCUUGAUCCUAAUUUUCCACUCUUUUUCCUCUCUCUGGUGCAAUAAAACAUGGAAGAAGGUUUAAUUAGUAGAAGCUCCUCCAUCAAAUCAUGGAAGAAACUAGAAUCUCAAAAUAGGUUAAACAAAUUUUCAUCAUUUGAAUACUUAGACACUGAUUCAUAUGGUUCUCCAUCUUCUCAGCCAUUACCACCUUUCAAUACACUUGCACCACAACCUUAUUCCUCUUUUCCAAACCCACCACCAAGUCCAAAAACCAUUAUUACAAUUUCACCACCACCAACACCACCUCCAAGCCCACCAAAACAUGUUCCAAGCCCACCUAAAACUCUUAUAACCCCCAACCUAUGACUUAUCACCACCACCACCCUCACCUCAUAAAAAACUCACCACCACACUAUGCUAUUUGGUGUGUUGCAAAGCCAACAGUUCCUGAUCCUAUAAUACAAUUUGCUAUGGACUAUGCAUGUGGGUCUGGGGCAGAUUGCAAAUCAUCAGCCCAAUGGUUAUGCUUUCAGCCCAACACUUUGUUGGCCCAUGCUUCUUUUGCUUUCAAUAGCUAUUGGCAGAACACUAAGAUUGGUGGGGGCACUUGUGAUUUGGUGGUACUGCUAUGCUUGUCAACGUUGAUCCAAGUAAGUUUCUGCUACCAUCUUUAUACACCGUUACG